rnacentral:rRNA from 1 species
ACGAACGUUGGCGGCGUGGAUUAGGCAUGCAAGUCGAACGAGAACCGCUGGGUAACUGGCGGGGAAAGUGGCGAAAGGGGCAGUAAGGCGUGGGUAACGUACCCCCCGGUCUGGGAUAGCCACGGGAAACUGUGGGUAAUACCGGGCGACGUAGCGCGGUCGCAUGGCCGUGCCACCACAGAUUUAUCGCCGGGGGAGCGGCUCACGUGGUAUUAGCUAGUUGGUGAGGUAAUGGCCCACCAAGGCUAAGAUGCCUAGCUGGUGUGAGAGCAUGACCAGCGCCACUGGCACUGAGACACUGGCCAGACACCUACGGGUGGCUGCAGUCGAGGAUCUUCCGCAAUGGGCGCAAGCCUGACGGAGCGACGCCGCGUGUGCGAUGAAGGCCUUCGGGUUGUAAAGCACUUUCGUGGGGGAGGAAAGCCGCAAGGUCUGACCUAUCCCAGGAAGAAGCACGGGCUAAGUUCGU